rnacentral:rRNA from 1 species
CCUACGGGAGGCAGCAGUGGGGGAUAUUGCACAAUGGGGGGAACCCUGAUGCAGCGACGCCGCGUGGGUGAAGAAGCGCCUCGGCGCGUAAAGCCCUGUCAGCAGGGAAGAAAAUGACGGUACCUGAAGAAGAAGCCCCGGCUAACUACGUGCCAGCAGCCGCGGUAAUACGGAGGAUCCGAGCGUUAUCCGGAUUUACUGGGUGUAAAGGGAGCGUAGGCGGCAGCGCAAGUCUGAAGUGAAAUGCCGGGGCUUAACCCCGGAACUGCUUUGGAAACUGUGCAGCUAGAGUGCAGGAGAGGUAAGUGGAAUUCCUAGUGUAGCGGUGAAAUGCGUAGAUAUUAGGAGGAACACCAGUGGCGAAGGCGGCUUACUGGACUGUAACUGACGUUGAGGCUCGAAAGCGUGGGGAGCAAACAGGAUUAGAUACCCUAGUAGUC